CUAACCCGAAUAAUUCAGACCCUCCCCGUAAUCGAUCUCUCCUACUUGCGAGGGCCUGAAUUCCUUACACGAUAAAAACUCUUCACGAAUCCUGGAUUUUGAUUGGUGCCCUGUAGAAGAGGUGACCAAUCAGCAAUUAGCUCAAUUUUAUCGAGAUAGGUAAAACCCGAGCUAAUUCCGAAUGGUUGAUUGAAGAUUUUUCAUUGUCUAUGCAUUCAGGCGUUAAUGUAGUAAGCGGAAUAUAACGACUGAAUUAAUCGGGUUACGGGACAUCGGGAUUUAUUUUAUUUAAAUUCGGGACCUCGGGAAUUCGUUUUUUAAGUCCGGGAUUUCAGGAUCAGGACCCCUCCUAUCCCCCCUCUCAUCGACAUCAGACUCGGACUUCUCUUAAAAUUGAACUGAAUAAAUACAAUUUCUUGGUAUUGUUAUGCGUUUACUUU
rnacentral:lncRNA from 1 species